rnacentral:misc_RNA from 1 species
AAAUUAUUUUGUUGACGGUUUACUGUUCUCCUGUCCUGAUGGGAGGGCAAGACUGGAAAGCCAAGCAAUUUUCACUUUUCAGGGAAAUGAAACAAUGAACAGUGAAAAUUGCUUGACUUUUUAAUAUAUUGUUUAGAUAUAGAUAGAUUUUGUCCUUUUUAUUUGUCUCUCUUGCUGCAGACUCUUCAAAUUCCUUUCUCAAAAUCCUUUCUUUUUAUCAAAAUUAACCAAAAUAAAUGUGAUGUUCUCCGAUUCUCUUCUUUUCAUUUCUCUAUUAUCACUUCUUUAUUCAAUUGCUUUUGCAAACUAAUAAGAAGA